rnacentral:rRNA from 1 species
CCUACGGGUGGCAGCAGUGGGGAAUAUUGCACAAUGGGGGAAACCCUGAUGCAGCGACGCCGCGUGAGUGAAGAAGUAAUUCGUUAUGUAAAGCUCUUUUAGUAGGGAAGAAAAUGACGGUACCUGAGUAAGAAGCCCCGGCUAACUACGUGCCAGCAGGCGCGGUAAUACGCAGGGGGCAAGCGUUAUCCGGAUUUACUGGGUGUAAAGGGAGCGUAGACGGGAGUGCAAGUCUGGAGUGAAAGGCGGGGGCUCAAGCCCCGGACUGCCCUUGAAACUGUACGGCUGGAGUGCAGGCGCGGUAAGUGGAAUUCAUAGUGUAGCGGUGAAAUGCGUAGAUAUUA